rnacentral:pre_miRNA from 1 species
UUUACACGCAAAUACGACAGGAAGGAGAGACAAGGGAGACAGUAUAGAACAGCGCUCUAUCCUGUCUCCCUUGUCUCUCCUUCCUGUCGUAUUUGCGCUGUUA